UAACUGCGAUAAAUAGUGUGAACUGCAGAAACAUUGAGCACUAAAGCUUCGAAUGCACAUUGCGCCAUUGGAAUAAUCAUCCUUUGGCACGCCUGGUUCAGGGUCGCAAACCAUAAACGCAUCACAAUUGCGUGACGGCAAGUGAAUAUUCACAUUGUGUAUAUUCAAAUAGAAAUUUCAUGUGUUGUUUGCAUAUAUGCGGAUGAUUUUCGAAGUUGGUCUGUACAUUUGAAUUCAUCAUGAAGGUGUAUUGAGAUGUCACCUGCGCAUUAUGUAGCAGCGCACAUUUCGGCCAAUGGCCAAAUUCACAUUUUCGACCUGAACUCAGACGUGAGCACCCGCUGAACUUAA
rnacentral:misc_RNA from 1 species